rnacentral:rRNA from 1 species
UACGUAGGGGGCGAGCGUUGUCCGGAGUUACUGGGCGUAAAGCGCACGCAGGCGGUCUGCUAAGUUUGGAGUGACAGUUGGUGGCUUAACUGCCAAAGUGCUUCGAAAACUGACAGACUUGAGGGCUUCAGAGGGACACGGAAUUCCGGGUGGAGUGGUGAAAUGCGUAGAGAUCCGGAGGAACACCAAAGGCGAAGGCAGUGUCCUGGGGAGUACCUGACGCUCGAGGUGCGAAAGCCAGGGGAGCGAACGGGAU